AACGCAUUUUGCACUCUAUUUUACGAUAGAGUAUAUCUGUUUGAGUAUCAUAAACCCCUGUUACAAUCGUAGCAUUAUGAAUUCUCAAGUAUUUGUCAUUCCAAAUUUAUAGAACAAACUGUGUGGUAACUAUUACACAACUGUUAUUAUCAAAUAUUGAUCUCAAAUCAGAUAAGAAUACCCGCUGAACUUAA
rnacentral:misc_RNA from 1 species